UACGGAGGGGGCUAGCGUUGUUCGGAAUUACUGGGCGUAAAGCGCACGUAGGCGGUUUUGUAAGUUAGAGGUGAAAUCCCGGAGCUCAACUUCGGAAUUGCCUUUAAGACUGCAUCACUUGGACGUCGGAGAGGUGAGUGGAAUUCCGAGUGUAGAGGUGAAAUUCUUAGAUAUUCGGAAGAACACCAGUGGCGAAGGCGGCUCACUGGACGACUGUUGACGCUGAGGUGCGAAAGCGUGGGGAGCAAACAGG
rnacentral:rRNA from 1 species